rnacentral:misc_RNA from 1 species
UUUUCAUCAUAUCUGUACAAUUAUUGUCUAGCAUUAUAGGUCAUUAAACUGGAAUUCUGCCAUGGAAAUCAUUCCAUUCUUUUCUAUCAUCCUCUUCCUAUCUUCUCCAAAAAACCCAUUUCUGGAUCAUACACACACACACCAUUCUGGUAAGUAAGUAUCCAUUCUUCUCAAAGUUGAUUAAUUCUUUCUUUUCAGGAUUUGAAUGGAUUGAUUGAGAGACAAAUGCAUGCACUUGGUAAUUAUGUCUGAUUCAUCUUCUGCUUCAUCCAUAUACCAAACACAAAACACACACUUUGACUGGAAAAAGGUGUUCAAAUUCAAGUUAUUUACGAAACCCA